rfam:Nomascus leucogenys chromosome 12, whole genome shotgun sequence.
GUGGGGUGCAGUGGCAGGCCUGUAGUUCCAGCCACUUGGGAGGCGGGGACAGAGGACAGGAGGAUAGCUUGCACACGUGUAGGGGUUCUGGGAUGUAGUGAACUGUGGUCACUGGGUGUCCACAUUGAGUUCAGCAUCAGUAUGGUGACCUCCCAGUAGUAGGGGACCACCAGGUUGCCUAAGGAGGAGUGAACUGGUCCAGGUCAGAAACAGAGCAGGUCAAAACUCCCAUGCUGAUCAGUAGUGGGAUUGCACCUGUGAAUAGCCACUGCACUCAAAGUCAACAUAGUCAGAACCUGUCUCCC